UGUGACCGCAAGUUUAACGGCCGCGGUAUUUUGACCGUGCAAAGGUAGCGCAAUCACUUGUCUUUUAAAUAAAGACCUGUAUGAAUGGCAUAACGAGGGCUAAACUGUCUCCUCACCCUAGUUAAUGAAAUUGAUCCUCCCGUGCAGAAGCGGGAAUUAACUCAUAAGACGAGAAGACCCUGUGGAGCUUUAGAUGAACAGAUGAAUUUGUUAGCAAUUAAACCUUGUGAAAGAUAAUAAACCUACAACCUCAUCUUAAUAUCUUCAGUUGGGGCGACCGCGGAGUAAAACAAAACCUCCGUGAGGAUUGAGGUGAAAACCUUAUACCCAAGAAAGUCAUUUCUAAGUACCAAAAAAUUUGACCUAUAGAUCCGGCAAUGCCGAUCAACGAACCUAGUUACCCCAGGGAUAACAGCGCAAUCCUCUUUAAGAGUCCCUAUCGACAAGGGGGUUUACGACCUCGAUGUUGGAUCAGGAUAUCCUAAUGGUGUAG
rnacentral:rRNA from 1 species